AGUGAACGCUGGCGGCAGGCCUAACACAUGCCAGUCGAGCGGCAGCGGGUCCUUCGGGAUGCCGGCGAGCGGCGGACGGGUGAGGAAUACAUCGGAAUCUGCCCUGUCGUGGGGGAUAACCUAGGGAAACUUAGGCUAAUACCGCAUACGACCUACGGGUGAAAGCGGGGGAUCGCAAGACCUCGCGCGACAGGAUGAGCCGAUGUCCGAUUAGCUAGUUGGCGGGGUAAAGGCCCACCAAGGCGACGAUCGGUAGCUGGGCUGAGAGGAUGAUCAGCCACACUGGGAGUGAGACACGGCCCAGACUCCUACGGGAGGCAGCAGUGCGGAAUAUUGGACAAUGGGCGCAAGCCUGAUCCAGCCAUGCCGCGUGGGUGAAGAAGGCCUUCGGGUUGUAAAGCCCUUUUGUCCGGGAAGAAAUCGUCUGGGCUAAUACCCCGGGCGGAUGACGGUACCGGAAGAAUAAGCACCGGCUAACUUCGUG
rnacentral:rRNA from 1 species